rnacentral:lncRNA from 1 species
AAAUAUCUAUUUUUGGAAAGUCUCCAGAAGACCAAUUUCCUACUUUGAUGCUUCCCUUCAGAAUCUUCCUCCAAUGUUCUCCAAGUUGAAGCUUGCUGGUAAUGUUAUCUUCCAUUUUGCUUCUUUCCCUGAAAUAUCUAUUCUCUUAAUUGUCCCUUUUUUUUCUUUUUCUUUUUUUUCCGGAAAGUCUUUCCAUUCCUAUGGUGAAGGACCAAUUUGCUGAUAGGAUCUGCAACGGAUCCAGCUGUGAUUGAAGCCACUUAGCUGAGUUGACUCCUUCUCGCUCUACACAACCCUGUACCCCCCUUAUUUUUCGUGUAUACAUGCUCCUGAAAAUCUGUCUAACUUUAUGUAUCCAGCAAUGUCUUCUUGACAAGAUAAAUUAUCUGUUAUGGUAUGGUUUGUCAUGUUUAUCAAAUACUGCGUGAUGUUCUUGCUGUUACUUUCAAGAAUAUUUGUUAAUCUGUGGUGCUCCCUGCUCUUAAAUAUCUUUGUUAAUGCUUGGGCUUCCUGACAUAAUUAAAUUGUGUUUGACUUAUUUUCCUAAAAAAUACUUUUGAG